rnacentral:rRNA from 1 species
GAUGAACGCUGGCGGCGUGCCUAAUACAUGCAAGUCGAGCGAACAGACGAGGAGCUUGCUCCUCUGACGUUAGCGGCGGACGGGUGAGUAACACGUGGAUAACCUACCUAUAAGACUGGGAUAACUUCGGGAAACCGGAGCUAAUACCGGAUAAUAUAUUGAACCGCAUGGUUCAAUAGUGAAAGACGGUUUUGCUGUCACUUAUAGAUGGAUCCGCGCCGCAUUAGCUAGUUGGUAAGGUAACGGCUUACCAAGGCAACGAUGAGUAGCCGACCUGAGAGGGUGAUCGCCCACACUGGAACUGAGACACGGUCCAGACUCCUACGGGAGGCAGCAGUAGGGAAUCUUCCGCAAUAGGCGAAAGCCUGACGGAGCAACGCCGCGUGAGUGAUGAAGGUCUUCGGAUCGUAAAACUCUGUUAUUAGUGAAGAACAAAUGUGUAAGUAACUAUGCACGUCUUGACGGUACCUAAUCAGAAAGCCACGGCUAACUACGUG